rnacentral:rRNA from 1 species
GGCUCAAGACAUGCAAGUUAAAAGGCUCGGAAGAGUUCUUGGCGAACGGCUCAGUAACACGUAGCUAAUCUACCUUCAAGAAGGGUUAAUCCCGGGAAACUGGGGAUAAUGCCCUAUAGAUGAUUGCAACUGGAAUGUGCUUUCAUCCAAAAAAUUCUGCUAUUCUGCAGAUGAUUGCUUGAGGAUGAGGCUGCGGCGCAUUAGGCUGUUGGCGGGGUAACUGCCCACCAAACCAAUGAUGCGUACGGGCCCUGAAAGGGGUAGCCCGGAGAAGGGAACUGAGACAAGGUCCCUAGCCCUACGGGGUGCAGCAGUCGCGGAACCUUUACACUGCGCGAAAGCGUGAUAGGGGGAUUUCGAGUGACCACACUGUGGUCUUUUGCCAAACCUAAAUAGUUUGGCGAAUAAAGGGGGGGCAAUAUACGUGCCAGCCGCCGCGGUAAUACGUAACCCCUAAGUGGUUUCCACUUGUAUUGGGCCUAAAACACCUGUAGCCGGUGCAGACAGUUCUUGGUGAAAUCAACCCGCUCAACGGGUUGAAUUGCUAAGAAUACUACUGUGCUUGGGGAAGGAAGACGUAAAGAGAAUUUCUGGGGUAACGGUGAAAUGUUAUGAUCCCAGAACGACUACCAGUAGCGAAGGCGCUUUACGAGAACUAUCCCGACGGUGAGAGAUGAAAGCUGGGGGAGCGACCUGGAUUAGAUACCCAGUUAGUCCCAGCUGUAAACGGUGUGGACUAGGUGUCCCCGUUCCUAUAUGGAUUGGGGGUGCCGACGCGAAGGCAUUAAGUCCACUGCCUGGGGAGUACGCCCGCAAGGGUGAAACUUAAUGGAAUUGGCGGGGGCUCACUACAAGGGGUGGAUGCUGCGGUUUAAUUGGAUACAACGCCUGAAAAUCUUACCAGGGAAGACAGCAGAGUGAUAGUCAGUCUGAAGGGCUUUCUUGACACGCUGAGAGGUCCUGUAUGGCCACCGCCAGCUCGUACUGUGAAGCUUCCUGUUAACUCAGGCAACGGGCGAGACCCACGCGGUCAGUUACUACUGUCUCUUUUGAGACGGGCACUUUGAUCGGACAGCGAGAGUAAUCUCGAGGAAGGAGUGGUCAACGGUAGGUCUGUAUGAGCCGAAUUUCCUGGGCAACACGCGGCAUACAAUGGUUAAUACAAUGGGUUGCUAACCCGAAAGGGGGCGCUAAUCUCUCAAAAUUAACCUCAGUUCGGAUCGAGGGCUGUAACUCGCCCUCGUGAAGCUGGAAUCCCCAGUAAUCGCGCGUCACCAUCGCGCGGUGAAUAAGUCCCUGAGCCUUGCACACACCGCCCAUCAAGCCAGCCGAGUAGAGUUAAGAUGAAUCUGUUUCCUUAGUGAUGCAGCUAAUUCUUGGCUUUGCGAGGGGGGCUAAGUUGUAACAAGGUG